UACGGAGGGUGCAAGCGUUGUUCGGAAUCACUGGGCGUAAAGCGCGUGUAGGCGGUCGGCUAAGUCUGAUGUGAAAGCCCGGGGCUCACCCCCGGAAGGGCAUUGGAGACUGGCCGACUCGAGUGCCGGAGAGGAGGGUGGAAUUCCCGGUGUAGCGGUGAAAUGCGUAGAUAACAGGAGGAACACCGGUGGCGAGGGCGGCCCUCUGGACGGAUACUGACGCUGAGACGCGAAAGCGUGGGGAGCAAACAGG
rnacentral:rRNA from 1 species